UACGAAGGGUGCAAACGUUGCUCGGAAUUAUUGGGCGUAAAGCGCACGUAGGCGGCCCAGCAAGUCGGAAGUGAAAUCCCACGGCUCAACCAUGGAAGUGCUUUCGAAACUGCUGGGCUUGAGUGUGGGAGAGGGAUGCGGAAUUCCAGGUGUAGCGGUGAAAUGCGUAGAUAUCUGGAGGAACACCGGUGGCGAAGGCGGCAUCCUGGACCAUGACUGACGCUGAGGAGCGAAAGCCAGGGGAGCAAACGGG
rnacentral:rRNA from 1 species